GGCCGCGGGAAUUCGAUUGGCCUAACACAUGCAAGUCGAACGGCAGCACGGACUUCGGUCUGGUGGCGAGUGGCGAACGGGUGAGUAAUAUAUCGGAACAUACCCAGUAGUGGGGGAUAACUAUCCGAAAGGAUAGCUAAUACCGCAUACGAUCUGUGGAUGAAAGCAGGGGAUCUUCGGACCUUGUGCUAUUGGAAUGGCCGAUAUCUGAUUAGCUAGUUGGUAGGGUAAAAGCCUACCAAGGCGACGAUCAGUAGCUGGUCUGAGAGGACGACCAGCCACACUGGAACUGAGACACGGUCCAGACUCCUACGGGAGGCAGCAGUGGGGAAUUUUGGACAAUGGGGGCAACCCUGGUCCAGCAAGGCCGCGUGAGUGAAGAAGGCCCUCGGGUUGUAAAGCAAGGGGUCAGGGAAGAAACGGAGUUCUCUAAUAUAGGAUUCUAAUGACGGU
rnacentral:rRNA from 1 species